AUCAUGGAGAGUUUGAUCCUGGCUCAGAACGAACGCUGGCGGCGCGUCUUAAGCAUGCAAGUCGGACGGGAUCGGUAGCUUGCUACCGUGAGAG
rnacentral:rRNA from 1 species